rnacentral:rRNA from 1 species
UACGGAGGGGGCUAGCGUUGUUCGGAAUUACUGGGCGUAAAGCGCACGUAGGCGGCUUUGUAAGUUAGAGGUGAAAGCCCGGGGCUCAACCCCGGAAUUGCCUUUAAGACUGCAUCGCUUGAACGUCGGAGAGGUGAGUGGAAUUCCGAGUGUAGAGGUGAAAUUCGUAGAUAUUCGGAAGAACACCAGUGGCGAAAGGCGGCUCACUGGACGACUGUGACGCUGAGGUGCGAAAGCGUGGGGAGCAAACAGG